UGGAGGUGGAGGUGGAAGUGGAGGCGGCGGCGGCGGCGGCGGUGGAGGUGGAUGGGGACAAAUUCGACUACAACAUAGAGGAUUGUCGCCGCAGGUUCCAGGCCGUCUACCCUGGUGAAUUGUUCAAGCACGACACCUAGGGUUCCCCAUCGCUAUCCUUUGGUUCGCCUCUGGUGUCUACCACGACGUUCCAAUCGCCGGAGUCGGAGCUCCGCCAUCGUCCAGUCCUCGCGAAAAUCCUCCAUCGCAUCGAAUUUUUUAUUUCUUCCAGCACUUUGGUGAGAUUGCUUCUGCACUGUUCGUCACAGGACGGUGAGUUCCUUCUCACUGAAACAUCUCGGUAUAUUAUGUUUGGCAUCAAUUUUUUAGCCCCCUACCAAUUGUUGUCAAAAGUAGGCCUGGCAUUGUCAAAAUAGCUUUUGAGGGAAUUUUUUUAGAAACAAACUUCUGUGAGGCACAAUCAUAAUCUGUGUGUUAGAAAUAAGCUUUGUUCAUGUAUAUUAUUAUGCCCAAUUUAAAACUGAGUAUGAUCAGAAUGGUUUCAUUAUGGUUAUUGACUUGUGACUGAAGGACUAUGUCAUUGUUGCCCCGUAAAGAUUUGUGCAGGUCCAUACUUCCUUUUUCCAAUGUAUUGCGCGGUCGAGGUCUCUAGCAAGGAUACCCUCCCUGGGGUGUUCCGCAACUUCUUGGACUCCGUCUGCUCGCCGAACGCCAGUGGAGAUCCGCUGCUGCAACACCUCAAGGAAGCGUCCUGCAACACGGCGCAACGGCCGCAGGAUUGUCCUUCAGGAACUCGGCACCUGGACCUAGGCAGGGCAACGUCGUCUGUGCUAUCCUUGUCAUCCUGGUGCAUGCUUCCUUUUUUCGAAGUCCGCGCGGUCGAGGUCUAUGUCAAGGACGCCCUCCCUAGGGUAUUCCACAACUUCAUGGACUGCAUCUGCUCGCCCGACGCCAGUGGAGAUCCGCUGCUGUGACGCGUCAAGGAAGCGUCCUGCACGGCGUAGCGGACGCGGGGUCAUCCUUCAGGAACAUGGCCUGCGACCUGCUCACCUAGACUUGGCGGGGCAGCGGCGUCUGUGCUAUCCUCGUCAUCCUGGGGCAAUCGGCAAUAUUAACGGAUGAUUCUUUGAAGGCUGUUGCAUCCAGAAAACAUCAUUAUUGUCUAAAUAGAACAAGGGCAAGGCUUCAUCAUCCUCCGGCUCUUCGGACUUCUCGGCGGAGGAACUUGACAUCGACUAUGAUGCAUUGUUUAGAUUUGUGAUGCAUUGUUUAGAUUUGUGUUCAGUGACACUUCCAAAAGUUCUAUCGAUGUAAUCUCAGCAACUUCACCUAUGUAUACCAAAUAUGCUUAGCAACUUGUCCUACGUGCAUAAGUGGCAGCGCUAGCUAUAGAAGCCAAUGAUGUCGAUAGCUCAAAAAUUUACGUUUAUGUAAACAUAUACAGUUAAACGUAGCUAAGAUUAGCUAGCUAAGCAUAUUUUUGUGAUGUCGCUUGACAUCACAAAAUACCCGUAGCUUCGCCACUGAUGAGUUAUGCCUCGCAACAACUCAAUUUGAGCCAAAUCAAAUUCGUGAACUACUAUAUAUAAUCAUAUGUGAAUAAUUAGUCAUCUAACUGAACACCGUUUAAACCUUAUUAG